rnacentral:rRNA from 1 species
AACGAACGCUGGCGGCAUGCCUAACACAUGCAAGUCGAACGAGACCUUCGGGUCUAGUGGCGCACGGGUGCGUAACGCGUGGGAAUCUGCCCUUGGGUUCGGAAUAACAGUUGGAAACGACUGCUAAUACCGGAUGAUGACGUAAGUCCAAAGAUUUAUCGCCCAGGGAUGAGCCCGCGUAGGAUUAGCUAGUUGGUGGGGUAAAGGCCUACCAAGGCGACGAUCCUUAGCUGGUCUGAGAGGAUGAUCAGCCACACUGGGACUGAGACACGGCCCAGACUCCUACGGGAGGCAGCAGUGGGGAAUAUUGGACAAUGGGCGAAAGCCUGAUCCAGCAAUGCCGCGUGAGUGAUGAAGGCCUUAGGGUUGUAAAGCUCUUUUACCCGGGAUGAUAAUGACAGUACCGGGAGAAUAAGCCCCGGCUAACUUCGUG